GAGUCCGACGGAGGGUGGCUUCCCUUCCCGGUCGGGUUGCGCUCGGCGGUCAUCGUCACCGGCCUAUUAGCUGCCACUGAUUGUCUUUCCUCCCCCUCCUUGUAUAUGUUUAUUGUUAGCACCUGUUCGUGAAUCAUUAGUUGGGCUUUAUUAGACAGCCUGUUUCUUUGUGCGGGAUUAAUUAUUGUGACCUUCGGUUAUGUAGUAGAGGAACGUGGUUGUUCCUGGUCGUGUAUUCUGCUGUACUAUUUUCGUCCCCCGUGUUUGGGGCAUUUUGGUUUUAAGCACCCAGUGUUGCGUUAGCAUUUGCACUCUCUGUUUCCUGCGUCUGACUCCACACCCACGAAACCGGGAGCGUUACAAUUUGUCACAUGUGCCCAAUACAACAGGUGUAGACUUUGCCGUGAAAUACUUACUAACGAGCCCUUUGCCAACAAUGCAGUUAAAAAUGUGGACCAUCUACGCCCUAGCUGCUCUCCUGACUCUGACAGUCAUAGCCAUGGUGGCUAAACUACUACUGCAUAUUACAGUGAAAAGUGAUGUAACAUGGAGAUAUGGCCGUGUGGGAACACAAACCCUAACCAGCCUGGUCACCUGUGAGAUGCAAGUCAAUAUUCAACGUCCAUCCACUUCUGACGUCAGGAGAUGACGUAAAAACCGGCCACUAGGGCACCUGGGUAACUCUCACUGUCUCAGAACCCAGUCCGUACCAAAUGACACAUCUAAGACUGUGGUUGUCCCGUUGACUGCCCUAUGUUCAUCAGAGUGAGAUCAGUGGAGGCAACCUAUGAGAAGCUGGCAGAUGAGGCUCUGGAUGAGUUGGCUGACUACUUUGAGGAUCUGAUGGAUUGACCACUAGCAGGGCCUGAGUUUGAUGUUCUCUUCUCUGGGAUCUGACCUGACCUCCUGACCUCAACCCCUCCUUCGCAUAAUCCACAGAUGUCCUCUCGUAUCACCUAUCGCACUCCCGUGACUCCCUCUUGUCCACCCAGCACAUUCCACAGCCACUCUGUCUUACUACAGAGAACCAUUAACUUCUCACUCCUUUAUAUACAAUGCGUCUGAUUUAUCAUGUCUUUAAUAUCUCAAUGUUCAAAGUUUACCCCGAAUCCAACACAUGAAAUGUUGUCUUCUCUGUAAGUAGGCUACUGAUUGUAAUUCUGAUUGUAAGUCAAUCUGGAUAAGUGUCUACUAAAUUAUGGAAAUGGCCAGAGUAUGAAAGUACAGGGACUUCUCUAUAAGUACAGGGAGAUACUGUACAUACCAAUUGCGCUCCUUUUGGGAAGUUCUUAACUUGAUCUAUUCUUAUUUUAUCCACUAGGGGUAGCUGUUUAAUUACAUAUCAUUCCGUUGGAAGUUUGUCAUUCCUUAUUUGCAUCAAAACACUUUCUUUAUGUUAGUUUCCCAGAGCACAAAUGUAAAAAAUAUUAUUGGCAUUUUAUUAUAUUGGUGAGAAGUAAUGAUGUUGCAAAUAUAGUACUCUUUUCUGUUAUUUUUUCAUCCUUUCUUGUCACCCUUCAUCAGAGCAGUUCUUCAUCAGAGCAGACUACUUGUGAAUGUUGAUUGGUAGCCUAUGUACCUAUUAGGGAUCCGUGAGUCAUUAGAGCUGUAGGAUUGUGCUGUUGCUGUAAUGUGCAGGGCCAAUUACUUCCCGAGUGCAAAGGUCACAGGAGGAAAUAAUGAUUGUAGUGUCUUCUAAUCACUGACGCACAGGGCACUAAACACCACGUCAAUACACUGAUGGCACUGUGUGUGUGUCCAUGAGAUUAAAUUGGUCUAACAUGACGCUAAAAAGUGUUUCAUGGUAAUAAUGACCUGACCUCUUGACCUGGGUCAGUGCUGUAUUGAACAGCCAGAGGAUCUAUUGAUAGAGAGCUGACUGACUAACCCACCCACUACUGCUUGUGCUGAUGAUGGUGUGUGUGUGGGAAUGUACCCCUGUGAGAUGUUUUUUUGUGGAACAACUGUCAGAAGGUCACUUCUGGUGACUUUUUAAAAGGACAUUCUACUCCAAAAUUAAUUUAAAAAAUAAUUAUGUUGACACCAUCUGAAAUAUAAUUUUCCCUUUAAAAGUAUUAGAACCUGUAGCCCAACUGAUGCAGCAUAGCGGCUUUAAAUUAAUAGGCUGAAGCAUCGGGUUGCCCAUCUGCAUUAACCUCAUUGGAAAACUCCAAAUGACUAUGAAUGCAUUGAAUUCUACAAAUAGACAUAACUUGACACUCCAGAGGGGUAUAAUACAAAGGUAACUUUGAUAAACAACCAGAAAUAAUUAUUGAUUUUCUGGUUCAUUAAAAAAGCUGAACUUAGAUAUGUGUUUUUGGUUAUUGAGUCAAUUAGACCCUGCCCAUUUCAUGUUUAU